CGAAGCUUUCUUGAAAAGCAAAUUACUGGCAGUAGCAUGAGAACCAACCGGUUCAUGAAUAAACUGGUUAUGACGUGUUCAUGCUGGAGGAUGCAGAUAAAGCAAUUCACAAGAAUUCUAAUUCCAAAAUCAAUAUUAAAAGGGUUAAUCUCAGCCAUAAUACUCAGCCACAUGGCAGCAUCAGGUAGCUCUUCCAAUCUUUCACAACACUGCAAAUGAGGUGAGUUGGUAAACUACCU